GGAUUAGAUACCCUGGUAGUCCACGCCGUAAACGAUGUCUACUAGCCGUUGGGAUCCUUGAGGUCUUAGUGGCGCAGCUAACGCACUAAGUAGACCGCCUGGGGAGUACGGUCGCAAGAUUAAAACUCAAAUGAAUUGACGGGGGCCCGCACAAGCGGUGGAGCAUGUGGUUUAAUUCGAAGCAACGCGAAGAACCUUACCAGGUCUUGACAUCCAGAGAAUCUUUCAGAGAUGAGAGAGUGCCUUCGGGAAUUCUGAGACAGGUGCUGCAUGGCUGUCGUCAGCUCGUGCCG
rnacentral:rRNA from 1 species